CAGACUUGUUUGAUUGAGAUGCGUCACUUGUUUGUCUGGUCUGGUGUAGGUGCAACCACGCGGUAAGCAUUAAGGUUACCUAGGUCAAGUUUAGUUUGAUUUGGUAGUUUCAUAAAAUAGCCUUUGUUUGAUUUAAACGAAACUUAAUCUUGCCGACAGCGAUGCCACAGUUUUUCUUACAGGCGUAAUUGAUUAUUAACAUCUUCCUAAUCGGAAAUGUGGGAUUUUUUGACCACGUGGCGUGAAUUUGUUGAUUGAUUGUAAAUUCACCGUCAUGUUAGGUUGUAAUACAAUUUAACAGUCAUGAAAAUUGUUAUUUUAUUUCACGCAAUCUCGAAAUUAUACAUUUUAUUUUUCUUGUAUGCCACCGAAGAAAUAAGCAACUUUAUUCAAAUGAAAUACUGUUCCAACUGCUGGUUCGUUUUUAUGACUGCAUCCUAUUGUGAAGGAGUUAAGUGUACCAGAAUAGACCUCUGCCGCAAGUAAUCCAGCGCUCAUAAACCAUCAAGGGACCACUGUCUACACUACACAGGGCUGUAUGCGCCCGUAAACCUCUCAACCAGUAACCAAAUACAAAAUAUAAAUACGGCCCUGUAUAAUGGUGACUGUCCCAUCACCGCCAGUAGUAAAAAUAAAUAUGUAGUAAUUGGCAGUAUUCACAAUUUAAUCUUAAGCAUUGAUUCUCUUUGAAAAUUAGAAUAGCAGUGAAAUAAAUGUCAUCGUGAAUUUGAA